AUACCUUUCUCGUCCUUUGGGCUAAGAUCAAGAGUAGUAUUUGUUCUUAUCUGUUUAAUUUAUGAUAUGUGGCACACUGGUCCCCACGAUAUUAAAUUAAUUUUUUGAAGGGAAGGUCCACCAGGGUAGCUUGUUACUGGGUCCUUCAAGUGUCGCUCUUGUUGCACUAAAACAUAGACCUGGCACACCCUAU